GCCCAGAUAAGCUGAAAUUCCGUUCCGAUUCCGUUCCGUUUUGACGUUGUGGAUCGCAGUGGAACUUAUGUUCAACCCUGUGCAUAUGUCUAAACCAGAGCAAAACAAAUCGAUCAUCUCUUUUUCUCCUAUCAAUUUUUCUUUCGUGUGUCAUCAUGCGUUGCGUUACCAGUCAGAAAGAGAUAAAAAACUUUGUUUACAUAUAGUAUUAAAAGCAGCAAACGAAAAUUUCAAUCACAUUUUAAAUCUUUCUGCAAUUAAAAAUAUAUAUUAGCAAAAGUUUUUCACUACAAUCGGAGCAUAAAAAAGUUCCGGAAGUGCUUGUGGAGUUUUGUUGUUGUUUUUCCGAAUAGUAAGCUAGCGAGAGUGGAUAUUUUUUAACACCAUGUCAACAAAAAUGACAAAUUGUUGAUGAGCGAUGUACGGUUGAAAUAAUGCCUGAUGAUAAAUUCUAUUCUAUUGCGAACAAUAAAUCACCUUUGUGUAUUGGUAUUAUGAUGUUUGAAGGCUCUUUUGUAUGGCAAUACAAAUUACGAAAUUACAACGAGUGAAACGUGUUAGCAUCUUUGAUACACAGCUGCUAUUUGGACCAGCGAUCAUGCAGUUUUGAAGGCUACACGUGGAAAUGGAUACCCUCGAUACGAGAUUUCAACGUGCCAUAAUGCGAUUUGGAGCUGGCUGAUAACUAUUCGACUAAAACUAUAUAAGGAAUAGACAAACGAAUGAAAUAUCA